rnacentral:rRNA from 1 species
GUAAGGAAUAUUGGUCAAUGGGCGGAAGCCUGAACCAGCCAUCCCGCGUGCAGGAAGACGGCCCUAUGGGUUGUAAACUGCUUUUCCAGGGGGCGAAACUUUCCGAUGUAUCGGGAUUUGACGGUACCCUGGGAAUAAGCAUCGGCUAACUCCGUGCCAGCAGCCGCGGUAAUACGGAGGAUGCGAGCGUUAUCCGGAUUUAUUGGGUUUAAAGGGUGCGUAGGCGGAUCGAUAAGUCAUGGGUGAAACCCUGCAGCUUAACUGUAGACUUGCCGUUGAUACUGUUGGUCUUGAGUGUGGUCAAGGUAGGCGGAAUGUGUAAUGUAGCGGUGAAAUGCUUAGAUAUUACACAGAACACCGAUUGCGAAGGCAGCUUACUGGGCCAUUACUGACGCUGAUGCACGAAAGCGUGGGGAUCGAACAGGAUUAGAAACCCGGGUAGUCC